UACGAGUGCCCCAAGCGUUGUCCGGAAUCAUUGGGCGUAAAGGGUGUGUAGGCGGUUGUGUUAGUCUUUUGUUAAAGCUCCCGGCUUAACCGGGAAAGUGCAAGAGAUACGGCACAACUAGAGGAUGCGAGAGGUGAACGGAACUCAUAGUGUAGGGGUGAAAUCCGUUGAUAUUAUGGGGAACACCAAAUGCGAAGGCAGUUCACUGGCGCAUUCCUGACGUUGAAACACGAAAGCGUGGGUAGCGAAUGGG
rnacentral:rRNA from 1 species